AUUGAACGCUGGCGGCAUGCCUUACACAUGCAAGUCGAACGGUAACAGGUCUUCGGAUGCUGACGAGUGGCGAACGGGUGAGUAAUACAUCGGAACGUGCCCGAUCGUGGGGGAUAACGAAGCGAAAGCUUUGCUAAUACCGCAUACGAUCAACGGAUGAAAGCAGGGGACCGCCAGGCCUUGCGCGAACGGAGCGGCAGAUGGCAGAUGAGGUAGUUGGGGGGAUAAAAGCUUACCAAGCCGACGAUCUGUAGCUGGUCUGAGAGGACGACCAGCCACACUGGGGCGGAGACACGGCCCAGACUCCUACGGGAGGCAGAAGUGGGGAAUUUUGGACAAUGGGCGAAAGCCUGAUCCAGCCAUGCCGCGUGCAGGAUGAAGGCCUUCGGGUUGUAAACUGCUUUUGUACGGAACGAAAAGACUCUUUCUAAUAAAGAGGGUCCAUGACGUUACCGUAAGAAUAAGCACCGGCUAACUACGUGCCAGCAGCCGCGGUAA
rnacentral:rRNA from 1 species